AUUGAACGCUGGCGGCAGGCUUAACACAUGCAAGUCGAGCGGGGUGAUGGUGCUUGCACUAUCACUUAGCGGCGGACGGGUGAGUAAUGCUUAGGAAUCUGCCUAUUAGUGGGGGACAACAUCUCGAAAGGGAUGCUAAUACCGCAUACGUCCUACGGGAGAAAGCAGGGGAUCACUUGUGACCUUGCGCUAAUAGAUGAGCCUAAGUCGGAUUAGCUAGUUGGUGGGGUAAAGGCCUACCAAGGCGACGAUCUGUAGCGGGUCUGAGAGGAUGAUCCGCCACACUGGGACUGAGACACGGCCCAGACUCCUACGGGAGGCAGCAGUGGGGAAUAUUGGACAAUGGGGGCAACCCUGAUCCAGCCAUGCCGCGUGAGUGAAGAAGGCCUUCGGGUUGUAAAGCUCUUUCGGCCGGGAAGAAAUCGCACGGGCUAAUACCCUGUGUGGAUGACGGUACCGGAAUAAGAAGCACCGGCUAACUACGUGCCAGCCGCCGCCGUAA
rnacentral:rRNA from 1 species